GGUUGGUUGAAAAGGCUCGAUCCACGGGCUUUCCUACUGGGAUAGACUGAAGGAAGAUGAGUGAGUGUGUGAGUGAGAGAAGAAAUUCAGGAGGGGAGGGGAAGGCAAAGCCUGCAGGCUCUCCUGUGAUGCUCCUUUACCCCCAGCCAUGUGUCCUUGACUGGGGAGAGCGACGGUGGCUACAUGGACAUGAGCAAGGACGAGUCGGUGGACUACGUACCCAUGCUGGACAUGAAAGGAGACGUCAAAUAUGCAGACAUCGAGUCCUCCAAUUACAUGGCCCCUUACGAUAACUACGUUCCCUCUGCCCCUGAGAGGACCUGUCGGGCAACUUUGAUCAACGAGUCUCCAGUGCUAAGCUACAUGGACCUCGUGGGCUUCAGCUACCAGGUGGCCAAUGGCAUGGAGUUUCUGGCCUCCAAGAACUGCGUCCACAGAGACCUGGCGGCUAGGAACGUGCUCAUCUGUGAAGGCAAGCUGGUCAAGAUCUGUGACUUUGGCCUGGCUCGAGACAUCAUGCGGGACUCGAAUUACAUCUCCAAAGGCAGCACCUUUUUGCCUUUGAAGUGGAUGGCUCCGGAGAGCAUCUUCAACAGCCUCUACACCACCCUGAGCGACGUGUGGUCCUUCGGGAUCCUGCUCUGGGAGAUCUUCACCUUGGGUGGCACCCCUUACCCAGAGCUGCCCAUGAAUGAACAGUUCUACAAUGCCAUCAAACGGGGUUACCGCAUGGCCCAGCCUGCCCAUGCCUCCGAUGAGAU
rnacentral:sRNA from 1 species